AAGUCGUAACAAGGUCUCCGUAGGGUGAGUGGAGUCCCAGAAAUCCCCCGUGUGCCCUCGAACGUUUAUGCUAACAAUUCAUCUAGUGAACCUGCGGAGGGAUCAUUACCGAGCAAGCCCCCCCGGGGCCGACCUCCAACCCUUUGUCGUAAAACCACGUUGCCUCCCGGGGAGACCUCGCUUUUGGCGGGCACCCCCGGGGUGGACCCAUCAAACUCUGCUUGACCUUUGCUGUCGGAGUACACUUUGAAUAUAUCAAAACUUUCAACAACGGAUCUCUUGGUUCUGGCAUCGAUGAAGAACGCAGCGAAAUGCGAUAAGUAAUGUGAAUUGCAGAAUUCAGUGAGUCAUCGAAUCUUUGAACGCAUAUUGCGCCCUUUGGUAUUCCGAAGGGCAUGCCUGUUCGAGCGUCAUUAUCAACCAUCAAGCCUGGCUUGUCGUUGGACCUCUUUACCGCUGAAAUAUGUGGUAGGUCCGAAAGAUAAUGACGGCGUCGUGUUUGACCCUAGAUGCAACGAGCUUUUUAUAGCACGCAUUGAAGUGGUCGGCCGACCCGGUUUUUAACCAUUAUUUUCUAAGGUUGACCUCGGAUCAGGUAGGAAUACCCGCUGAACUUAA
rnacentral:rRNA from 1 species